rnacentral:misc_RNA from 1 species
GAACGCACCUUGCGCUCCUUGGUACUCCGAGGAGCAUGCCUGUUUGAGUGUCAUUUAAUUCUCAACCUUAUUAGCUUUUGCUGAUAAUGGCUUGGAUGUGGGGGUUUUCUUUUGCUGGCUUUCGUCAGCUCCCCUUAAAUGCAUUAGCUGGUGCCCCGCGUGGACUGUCCGUUCGGUGUGAUAAUUAUCUACGCUGUGGAUGUCUGCAAAUAGGUUUUGCACUGCUUCUAACCGUCUGUUCAUUUGGACAAUACAUGACAAUUUGACCUCGAAUCAGGUAGGACUACCCGCUGAACUUA